GUUUCGGCAGUACACAUAAACUAAAAUUGGAAUGAUACAGGGAAGAUUAACAUGGCUCCUGCGCUAGGAUGAUACGCAAAAUCGUAAAGCGUUCCAUUAUCUU